rnacentral:rRNA from 1 species
GACCCGUGAUCCGGGUUGCGGACAGUGUCUGGUGGGUAGUUUGACUGGGGCGGUCUCCUCCUAAAGAGUAACGGAGGAGCACGAAGGUUGGCUAAUCCUGGUCGGACAUCAGGAGGUUAGUGCAAUGGCAUAAGCCAGCUUGACUGCGAGCGUGACGGCGCGAGCAGGUGCGAAAGCAGGUCAUAGUGAUCCGGUGGUUCUGAAUGGAAGGGCCAUCGCUCAACGGAUAAAAGGUACUCCGGGGAUAACAGGCUGAUACCGCCCAAGAGUUCAUAUCGACGGCGGUGUUUGGCACCUCGAUGUCGGCUCAUCACAUCCUGGGGCUGAAGUAGGUCCCAAGGGUAUGGCUGUUCGCCAUUUAAAGUGGUACGCGAGCUGGGUUUAGAACGUCGUGAGACAGUUCGGUCCCUAUCUGCCGUGGGCGCUGGAGAACUGAGGGGGGCUGCUCCUAGUACGAGAGGACCGGAGUGGACGCAUCACUGGUGUUCGGGUUGUCAUGCCAAUGGCACUGCCCGGUAGCUAAAUGCGGAAGAGAUAAGUGCUGAAAGCAUCUAAGCACGAAACUUGCCCCGAGAUGAGUUCUCCCUGACCCUUUAAGGGUCCUGAAGGAACGUUGAAGACGACGACGUUGAUAGGCCGGGUGUGUAAGCGCAGCGAUGCGUUGAGCUAACCGGUACUAAUGAACCGUGAGGCUUAACCUUACAACGCCGAAGCUGUU